GACAGAGGGUGCAAACGUUGCUCGGAAUUACUGGGCGUAAAGCGCGUGUAGGUGGACCAGCAAGUCAGGCGUGAAAUCCCUAGGCUCAACCUAGGAACUGCACCUGAAACUUCUGGUCUUGAGUGGUGGAGAGGAAAGCAGAAUUCCUGGUGUAGAGGUGAAAUUCGUAGAUAUCAGGAGGAACACCGGUGGCGAAGGCAGCACUCUGGGACGUGACUGACGCUGAGACGCGAAAGCGUGGGGAGCAAACAGG
rnacentral:rRNA from 1 species